rnacentral:rRNA from 1 species
UACGUAGGGUGCAAGCGUUUGUCCGGAAUUAUUGGGCGUAAAGAGCUCGUAGGCGGUUUGUUGCGUCGGCUGUGAAAUCCCGAGGCUCAACCUCGGGUCUGCAGUCGAUACGAGCAAACUAGAGUGUUGCAGGGGGAGACUGGAAUUCCUGGUGUAGCGGUGAAAUGCGCAGAGUAUCAGGAGGAACACCGGUGGCGAAGGCGGGGUCUCUGGGCAACAACUGACGCUGGAGGAGCGAAAGCGUGGGGAGCGAACAGG